rnacentral:rRNA from 1 species
AUGGCGGUCCCGGGAGGAGGUGCCGCCGCCGCGCUCGCCCUGACCCUCCUCCUCCUCCUCUGCUCCUGCGUUUCCGGCGCGGCCCACGCCUCCUCCGCCCUCCGCCACGCCGCGCCGCGCGGCGACGCCGGCGGCGGACUCUGCGGGCAGCUGCUCCUGCCGCUGGGCUACCCGUGUACCGAGCACACCGUUGAAACAAACGAUGGCUUUCUUUUAUCUCUUCAGCAUAUUCCACAUGGCAAAAAUGGAAUUGCAGACAAUACUGGACCUCCAGUUUUUCUUCAACAUGGUCUUUUUCAGGGAGGAGAUACAUGGUUCAUAAAUUCUGCUGAACAGUCGCUUGGAUAUAUCCUUGCUGAUAAUGGGUUCGAUGUUUGGAUUGGAAAUGUUCGUGGAACACGUUGGAGUAAAGGCCAUUCCACUUUCACUGUGCAUGAUAAGCUUUUCUGGGAUUGGAGCUGGCAAGAGCUUGCUGAAUAUGAUCUUCUGGCAAUGUUAAGCUACGUUUAUACAGUUAGGCAGUCCAAAAUUUUGUAUGUGGGGCAUUCACAGGGAACUAUUAUGGGUUUGGCUGCUUUUACAUUGCCUGAAAUCACAAAGAUGAUUAGCGCUGCUGCACUUCUUUGUCCAAUUUCUUACCUUGAUCAUGUUAGUGCUAGUUUUGUUCUCAGAGCAGUUGGCAUGCAUCUUGACCAGAUGCUUCUUACCAUGGGCUUCCAUCAGCUGAACUUCCGGAGCGAUAUGGGAGUUCAAAUAGUAGAUUCUAUAUGCGAUGAUGGACAUGUGGACUGCAACGAUUUGCUGUCUUCGAUAACAGGGGAAAAUUGUUGCUUCAAUGGAUCACGGAUUGACCAUUACUUGGAGUACGAACCUCAUCCAUCAUCAACUAAAAACUUGCAUCAUCUUUUUCAGAUGAUCAGGAAAGGCACUUUCGCAAGGUACGACUAUGGAUUGUGGGGAAACCUAAGGCACUACGGCCAGCUGUUGCCCCCUCCAUUUGACCUAAGCAGCAUACCAGAAUCACUGCCGAUGUGGAUGGGGUACGGAGGUCUUGAUGCAUUGGCUGAUGUCACUGAUGUCGCGCGUACCGUCAAAGAGCUGAGAUCUACGCCAGAGCUGCUAUACAUUAGUGGCUAUGGCCACAUUGAUUUCGUCAUGAGCGUGAAGGCCAAAGAUGAUGUUUAUGUCGACUUGAUGAGGUUCCUCCGCCUUAGGGCAAAUGGAUCAUUGCACAGUAGCUACUAG